GGGCUCACACAAGCGGUGGAGGAUGUGGCUUAAUUCGAGGCUACGCGAAGAACCUUAUCCUGGUCUUGACAUGCUUGGGAAUACCCGUGAAAGCGGGUAGUGCCUUUCGGGGAGCCCUUGCACAGGUGCUGCAUGGCUGUCGUCAGCUCGUGUCGUGAGAUGUCGGGUUAAGUCCCUUAACGAGCGAAACCCUUAUCUCUAGUUGCCAGCGUGUAAUGGCGGGGACUCUAGAGAGACUGCCGGUGUUAAACCGGAGGAAGGCGGGGAUGACGUCAAGUCCUCAUGGCCUUUAUGACCAGGGCUGCACACGUCCUACAAUGCGUCAUACAAAGGGAAGCAACCUCGCGAGAGCAAGCAAAUCCCAAAAAGUGGCGCUCAGUUCGGAUUGCAGGCUGCAACUCGCCUGCAUGAAGCCGGAAUCGCUAGUAAUCGUGGGUC
rnacentral:rRNA from 1 species